UCCCUCCCUCCCUCCCUCUGCUUCUUGUCCAACUGUCUUUCAGCUUCCCCCUUGGGCUGUGUAGCAACCAAGGUGCAAUCAGAACAGGAAGUGACCUUUGGGAAGCAGGGCCCAGCAGCAUCACCCACACUCAUCUCCUGUCUAGUAAUGUCCAAAAGCUGGCCUGCACCCAUGUGCCCAGCUGAUGAACCUGACAGAGCCCUAGCGUUCUCGCUGGAGCUGAUCCUCCUGCAGCUCUGAGACCCUCUGGAGUCAUUUGUCAGUGCCCCACUGGGUAUUCCGCUAACUUUCACAAGGUCAAGUUCCCUCAGCAAACGUCUUCUGGGCAGUCUGAAGAUGUGUGUUUUCUGACAGUUUCAAUUUUGUAUGGCUGUUUCACCCACCUGCCUGGCCUCGGAUUAUCUAUCAGGGCCUAGCCCAGAAGCAGGCGUGUGUGGCAGGUGCUCACUAGCACCUAAGUUGAAUGAAUGACUGAAUGCUCAAGAGGGUAGCCAUCCUCCUUGACUAUGACACAGGCAACUGCUGACGCCAAAAUGCUGCCCACCCCUCUCAUGCCCAUAUUUGGACAUGGUACAGGUCCUCCCUGGCCAUGGUCUGUGAGGUCCUGGCACUCUUUGACUUCAUAAUCCCCAGGGGCCCCUUGUGUCUAUAAGAGGAAGAGGGUGCGGGCUCUCCAUCCACAGCCCGCAAAAUUCCACCUGCUCACAGGUUGGCUGGCUCGACCCAGGUGGUGCCCCCUGCUCUGAGCCAGCUCCCGGCCAAGCCAGCACCAUGGCCAGAUACCGAUGCUGCCGCAGCAAAAGCAGGAGCAGAUGCCGCCGCCGCAGGCGAAGAUGUCGCAGACGGAGGAGGCGAUGCUGCCGGCGGAGGAGGCGAAGGUGCUGCCGCCGCCGCAGAUACACCCUGAGGUGUAAAAGAUACUAGAUGCACAAAAUAGCAAGUCCAUCAAAACUCCUGCCUGAAAAUUUACCAGACUUCAAGAGCCUCUCGCCACAUCUUGAAAAAUGCCACCGUCCAAUGAAAAACAGGAGCCUGCUAAGGAACAAUGCCACCUGUCAAUAAAUGUUAAACUCUCAUCCCA